rnacentral:misc_RNA from 1 species
GAAAUGCGAUAAGUAAUGUGAAUUGCAGAAUUCAGUGAAUCAUCGAAUCUUUGAACGCACCUUGCGCUCCUUGGUAUUCCUUGGAGCAUGCCUGUUUGAGUAUCAUGAAAUCUUCAAAGUAAAUCUUUUGUUAACUCAAUUGGUUUCUACUUUGGUAUUGGAGGUCUUUGCAGCUUCACACCUGCUCCUCUUUGUUCAUUAGCUGGAUCUCAGUGUUAUGCUUGGUUCCACUCGGCGUGAUAAGUUAUCUAUCGAUGAGGACACUGUAAAAGGUGGCCAAGGUAAAUUCAGAUGAACCGCUUCUAAUAGUCCAUUGACUUGGACAAUACUUUUAUGAUCUGAUCUCAAAUCAGGUAGGACUACCCGCUGAACUUAAGC